rnacentral:misc_RNA from 1 species
GAAACACUUGUACAAUUGCUAUUAGUUUUGGCAUUUUUCACACAGCGACGAUCCCACUUUCUCCAUUGAUUACCCAAAAUUAAAAUAAAUAACCACAAAAUUGGCAAGUGAUGGAGUGAUCAAUGACAGAAAUCCCAGUGACCUAUAUACCUUCGAUAUCAUUUUCAUGUAUAAGUUUGUUCAGAAGUGUAGUCAGCAGCGCAUCUCUCCUCUCAGCCCUGCUUUCUUCUCUUGUCCGCCUCUGUUCUUCCCUCUCCCUCCAAACCAGCUCAAUCAUUAAUCUCUCUUUCUCAAUUUUCUCCAUUGACUGUCUCCAUUCCAGCUCAAACAACCGUUGCUCAUUCGCACGAUUUUCCAUCAUCUCCCUCCACUGCAUCUCCAUCUGUUGUUGCUGCUGAAAGAACUCCUUGAGCAUUUCCUGAAUACCAAUAAUAUUAGGAUUUGAGGUGCUGGUUACUCUUGAAGGCAUCUCCAUUUGAAAUCUUUCACGCUUCCUCUUCUGGGAAUUGCUUCUAGCUAGCCUCUCCUCCCCACUACCAUCAUCAUCCUCAUCUUCAUCUUCUGAGAGUUCAUCAAAGGAUCUGUCCGCACUCAUUCUCUUUACCCGUUUCUUUGCCCGGGUAGAACCUGCCUCAGAAUCAAAAAGCAACGGCUGC